ensembl:lncRNA
UAAACUGCAGACUCCUGGUCCUGCCCCCACCUCACUGAAUUAGAACUGACAGGAGGAGGAUUGAGGACUCUAUCCAUUUUAACAGGAUUUCUGAGUGUCAGGAUCCCGCAAGCACAGGCAGUGCUGUCUCAGAGAGUGGCGGGUCUAGGAAAGGCAUGCAGUCAGGAGUCAAGACCUGAGUGCUGGCACCUGUCAUUGACUAGACGUGUAACUUUACACAGUCGUUUAUCUGUGCUGUAAGUAAACUUCCUUAUCUGUAAAGUCAGGAAAAUACUGCCUGCCCUACCAAGCUGCAGGGUUGUUGCUGGGAUCAAAUGCGAUGCCAUAAGGAAGUGACGAUGUGCUGGAAAGGAGCCAUCUGCCUCAACCAUUAAUUAUCUGACUUACUCAGAAAUGCAGCUUCUUCUGGCUCCAAGACAGCAUAGUCUCAAAGUUGAGAAUGAAUGGGCUUUCAGCGCUCAGCAACACAGUCAAGAAUCCCCAAAAAACCUGCAAAUGGAAUGGUUUUCCAGUAGCGUGUCAACCCGGGAGCAAAAUUACUGAUGCGUGGAGUUCUAAAUCUCAUUAACACAGAACAAGAACAGCAUAAACAGCUCUCCAAAGGAUGUUCAAAUUGCUUGUUCCUAAAUUUGCCUGCUAUGUCUGAAACACUGAGGUUUCUUUAAUCAGGAUAAAGUUUGAGCUUCUCAUCUAACUCUGUCUUACCAUGAAAGUGUGAGCUAUGAACUCUUCCGUAAAUAAACAUUGAUUGAGCACUAUGCUGGGCAUCAGAGAAGGAGAAAUGGACAAGACACAGUUCCUGCUCUCAAGAAGCUCAUGCUAUAGUGGACUUUAUCAAAAAGCUUUCCAGGUAAAGCUCUUUCUUUCCAAGGAAUAACCAAGUAAGAAAGUUUACAAUGGAACGUAAAGAAUGAUGUCUCCAUGUAUUUAUGGACACUUGAUUCAUGAUACAGAUGAGACUGAAGAGCAGGGAAGAAAGAAAGAAGGAAGGAAGGAAGAGAGAAUGAGAGAGUGUGAGAGCGCGAGAGAAAGGAAGGAAGGAAGAAGGAAGGAAGGAAAGCAGAAAGAGAAGGAAGGAAGGAAGGAUGGAAGGAAAGAAGGAAGGAAGGAAGAAAAAGAUCUGUAACCUCGGGCCCACUUGGACCAGUUGGAACUGACCCCAUCUUAUCAACAGAGUGAUUAGGAGUUGCUUUUCAGAGGCAGAAAUUUGGAAGUCGCAUAGCCAGAGCAUGCGCAGAGGAGAAAAUGUUGACCUGAAAUAACACUGGAACCCAAGAUUCUCCCUGACAUGAAACAAAGGACCAGGGCACUACCAGAACUUGAAGGCUGGACUCUUAUCAGAAGCGAGGGGUCCAUUGUCUAGGAAGAUCUGGUGUUAAAGCCCUUCCACCUCACCAAAAAUGUUCAGAACCUUCCCAGGAAUGUUUAAAGCCCUCCGAUCAAAACCUGCCCUGUGGCAUUUCCAUGUCCCAGCCUGUUCUCCCUGACCUCUUAAAUUUCGUCCCAGACCCUGAAUCAGGGAGAGAGAUUUCAGAGCUUUGUCUCCUGUCUCCUUGUUGCUCAACCUCACAAUAAAGCCUUUUCUUUUUUCAAAAGCCAGUGGCAUAAUAAUUGGCUUUUUUACUUGCAUUGGGCAGAAAAUCCCCCUUUCUGUGGUAACAAAAUUGUCUCUGCCUCAUAUCAUACACAAAACUCCAAAAAUAAAUCCAGGAGUAUUGUAAAUAAAAUGUGAAAGGCAAAAA